rnacentral:rRNA from 1 species
GAUGAACGCUGGCGGCGUGCCUAAUACAUGCAAGUCGAGCGAACAGACGAGGAGCUUGCUCCUCUGACGUGAGCGGCGGACGUGUGAGUAGCACGUGGAUAACCUACCCAUGAGGCUGGGAUAAGUUCGGAAAAACGGCGCUUAUACCAUAUAAUAUAGUGAACCGCAUGGGUCGAUGGUGAAAGACGGUUUUGCUGUCACUUGUACAUGGGUCCGCGCCGCAUGAUGUAGUUGGUAAGGUAACGGCUUACGAAGGCAACGAUGCGUAGCCGACACGAGAGGGUGAUCGGCCACCCUGGAACUGAGACACGGUCCAGACUCCUACGGGAGGCAGCAGUAGGGAAUCUUACGCAAUGGGCGAAAGCCUGACGGAGCAACACCGCGUGAGUGAUGAAGGUGUUCGGAUCGUAAAACUCUGUUAUUAGGGAAGAACAAAUGUGUAAGUAAUUAUGCACGUAUUGACGGUACCCAAUCAGAAAGCCACGGCUAACUACGUG